rnacentral:miRNA from 1 species
UUAGGUUGGUGCAAAAGUAAUUGUGGUUUUUGCCACUGAGGCAAUGGCAAAAACCACAAUUACUUUUGCACCAA